rnacentral:rRNA from 1 species
AAGUCGAGCGGGCGUAGCAAUACGUCAGCGGCAGACGGGUGAGUAACGCGUGGGAACGUACCUUUUGGUUCGGAACAACACAGGGAAACUUGUGCUAAUACCGGAUAAGCCCUUACGGGGAAAGAUUUAUCGCCGAAAGAUCGGCCCGCGUCUGAUUAGCUAGUUGGUAGGGUAACGGCCUACCAAGGCGACGAUCAGUAGCUGGUCUGAGAGGAUGAUCAGCCACAUUGGGACUGAGACACGGCCCAAACUCCUACGGGAGGCAGCAGUGGGGAAUAUUGGACAAUGGGGGCAACCCUGAUCCAGCCAUGCCGCGUGAGUGAUGAAGGCCCUAGGGUUGUAAAGCUCUUUUGUGCGGGAAGAUAAUGACGGUACCGCAAGAAUAAGCCCCGGCUAACUUCGUGCCAGCAGCCGCGGUAAUACGAAGGGGGCUAGCGUUGCUCGGAAUCACUGGGCGUAAAGGGUGCGUAGGCGGGUCUUUAAGUCAGGGGUGAAAUCCUGGAGCUCAACUCCAGAACUGCCUUUGAUACUGAAGAUCUUGAGUUCGGGAGAGGUGAGUGGAACUGCGAGUGUAGAGGUGAAAUUCGUAGAUAUUCGCAAGAACACCAGUGGCGAAGGCGGCUCACUG